GAUGAUGAUGCUUGCUGUUGUUUUGCAACUGUAAUUUUUGUCCAGAAAAUUCCCAUAGUUAUGUUUGGUUCGCUGUUAGUUGAGGUUGCAUAUUGAUGUUGUUUAAUGGACAUGCUCACCUGUCAGAUGAUGAUGCUUGCUGUUGUUUUGCAACUGUAAUUUUUGUCCAGAAAAUUCCCAUAGUUAUGUUUGGUUCGCUGUUAGUUGAGGUUGCAUAUUGAUGUUGUUUAAUGGACAUGCUCGAUCGUUUGAUGCUGGAUACGUUUUAUUCAUGUUAAUGGAUGAUGUUGCUUGGAAGUGAAGUGAUGAAUGUUGCUGUCAUGAAAACCU
rnacentral:lncRNA from 1 species